rnacentral:tRNA from 9 species
GGGCCGUUAGCUCAGUUGGUAGAGCAACUGACUUUUAAUCAGUGGGUCAUAGGUUCGAAUCCUAUACGGCUCACCA